GAUGAACGCUGGCGGCGUGCUUAACACAUGCAAGUCGAACGGUGAAGCCAAGCUUGCUUGGUGGAUCAGUGGCGAACGGGUGAGUAACACGUGAGCAACCUGCCCUGGACUCUGGGAUAAGCGCUGGAAACGGCGUCUAAUACUGGAUAUGAGCCUCUUCCGCAUGGUGGGGGUUGGAAAGAUUUUUUGGUCUGGGAUGGGCUCGCGGCCUAUCAGCUUGUUGGUGAGGUAAUGGCUCACCAAGGCGUCGACGGGUAGCCGGCCUGAGAGGGUGACCGGUCACACUGGGACUGAGACACGGCCCAGACUCCUACGGGAGGCAGCAGUGGGGAAUAUUGCACAAUGGGCGAAAGCCUGAUGCAGCAACGCCGCGUGAGGGAUGACGGCCUUCGGGUUGUAAACCUCUUUUAGCAGGGAAGAAGCGAAAGUGACGGUACCUGCAGAAAAAGCGCCGGCUAACUACGUG
rnacentral:rRNA from 1 species